rnacentral:rRNA from 1 species
GACGAACGCUGGCGGCGUGCUUAACACAUGCAAGUCGAACGGAAAGGCCCUGCUUUUGUGGGGUGCUCGAGUGGCGAACGGGUGAGUAACACGUGAGUAACCUGCCCUUGACUUUGGGAUAACUUCAGGAAACUGGGGCUAAUACCGGAUAGGAGCUCCUGAUGCAUGGUGGGGGUUGGAAAGUUUCGGCGGUUGGGGAUGGACUCGCGGCUUAUCAGCUUGUUGGUGGGGUAGUGGCUUACCAAGGCUUUGACGGGUAGCCGGCCCGAGAGGGUGACCGGCCACAUUGGGACUGAGAUGCGGCCCAGACUCCUACGGGAGGCAGCAGUGGGGAAUAUUGCACAAUGGGCGGAAGCCUGAUGCAGCAACGCCGCGUGCGGGAUGACGGCCUUCGGGUUGUAAACCGCUUUCGCCUGUGACGAAGCGUGAGUGACGGUAAUGGGUAAAGAAGCACCGGCUAACUACGUG